rnacentral:rRNA from 1 species
UACAGAGGCCCCAAGCAUUAUCCGGAAUCACUGGGCGUAAAGGGUGUGCAGGCGGCGAUAUUAGUCUUUCGUGAAAGAUCUCCGGCUUAACCGGGGAGACGCGGGGGAAACGGUAUCGCUUUGAGGGCGCGAGAGGUAGAGGGAACUCAUGGUGUAGGGGUGAAAUCCGUUGAUAUCAUGGGGAACACCAAAUGCGAAGGCACUCUACUGGCGCGUACCUGACGCUGAGACACGAAAGCGUGGGAAUCGAACGGG